GGGGUGGUAGCUCAGUUGGUUAGAGCAGGAAUGUUCCAUCACUCUUGUCGUGGCCGUCGUCGGUCCUGUUGUGUGCGUUGCAGGGAAGCGCUGGACCCGGCGGGCAAUGGGGCCCGCCGGGCUGAAAGAGACGCAAAAUGUUCAGUUGACGGAGGUGGUGCUCGCCGCCUCCAUGUUUCGCCGCUGGCGUCCACGAAUGCCGAUGGAACUACAGCCUUUGAAGCUCCAGGUCGCGGGUUCGAGUCCCGCCCACCCUU
rnacentral:tRNA from 1 species